AUGGGGCGUCCUUACUCCCAGUCUUUCCAGAUGUUCUUCCCACUCCUCAACUGCUCCUGGCUCAGAAACCCUGCACACCUGGAAGAAAGUGAGAACCAGUUUUUCAACAAACACAUUGCACAGACUUAUUGUGAACCCCGGGUGGAAUCAAGCAUCGGAGGAAGAGAACGUGGGUCUUGCUGUGUCCCUAGGCUGGAGUGCAGUGGUGCAGUCUCAAUUAUGCCAGAUGGCUCUGAGGUCCAAGUAAAAGAUAAUAUUUGCAACCAACUCACUGGAGUUGACCAUCAAAACUCUUUUCCAGGCACACUCAGGCAUCGCAGAAAAUAAUAUGUAUUGUGGAAUCCCUCACUUGAUGAAUAAUCUAGAUGAUCAGAAAUGUGGCACUAUUUUGGCUUUCAGGUGGAAAAGCACCCUGAAUCCAGCUUCCUGCUAUGAAUGAAUACUGAGCUUGGGUUGGUGGAAAUUGAUUUUCGAGAUAAAGAAUCCAGCCAGGACUGUGAAGCCCCAGGGAAUGGCUGCACUUCAAGUCAGAAGGAGCCUGGGUCCCUGAAUCAUCAUGUGGAAGGCUCUCCACCCAGUUCAAUGGUGCAAUGGACCACAAGCAGGAACUUAAUUUAGAAUGUGCUUAUUUUGUUAGAUUUUGUAAUUAAAAAAUGGAUCCCACUCUGACUGAA